rnacentral:rRNA from 1 species
CCCGCUGAACUUAAGCAUAUCAAUAAGCGGAGGAAAAGAAACUAACAAGGAUUCCCCUAGUAACGGCGAGUGAAGCGGGAUGAGCUCAAGCUUAAAAUCUCCGUGCAAGUUUUGCACGGCGAAUUGUAGUCUAUAGAGGCGUGGUCAGUGAGGGCGCUCGGGGCAAGUUCCUUGGAAGAGGACAGCAUGGAGGGUGAUACUCCCGUUCAUCCCUGAGUGGCUUUUGCGUACGACCCGUGUUCUUUGAGUCGCGUUGUUUGGGAAUGCAGCGCAAAGUAGGUGGUAAAUUCCAUCUAAAGCUAAAUAUUGGUGCGAGACCGAUAGCGAACAAGUACCGUGAGGGAAAGAUGAAAAGAACUUUGAAAAGAGAGUUAAAGAGUACCUGAAACUGCUGAAAGGGAACCGAAUCGUUUCCAGUGUCUAUAAUCCGUGGCAUAUUUCAUUGGCGAGUGUGUGCGUGCGUGUGCUGUGGCAGUGGCUUUUUUGGCUGCGCUCGGCGUGUGUGCUGUGURUGCUUGUUGGUGCCCUGUGCUGCGGUGGGACGUCAAGGUCAGUUCGUAUGCUGCGGGAAAUGGCUGCCGAGGAGGUAGGGCUUACGCUCCGCGUUUGUCUGUUAUAUCUUGGUGGACGAGUAGUCGCGGUUGGGACUGAGGUGCCUACAACGUGCUUUUGAGUGUGUAUGGGUCUCCGUGUGCGCCGUGUGCGGAUAGCUUGCUAUGCGUGUGUGGUUGUGUGUGGAUUGAUGCGUACUGUAACUUGUCGCCGUUCGGGACGUUGACGAAAUGGAGCGAUCCGACCCGUCUUGAAACACGGACCAAGGAGUCUAACAUGUGUGCAAGUGUUAGGGUGUGGAAACCCCAGCGCGAAAUGAAAGUGAAGGGCAGCGCAAGUUGUCUGAGGUAGGAAACGUUGCGGGCUUCGGUCUGCGGCGUGGCACUAUCGACCGAUCAUGAGCCUUCGUGGUGAAAGAUUUGAGUUUGAGCACAUAUGUUGGUACCCGAAAGAUGGUGAACUAUGCCUGAGUAGGGUGAAGCCAGGGGAAACUCUGGUGGAAGCUCGUAGCGAUUCUGACGUGCAAAUCGAUCGUCAAACUUGGGUAUAGGGGCGAAAGACUAAUCGAACCAUCUAGUAGCUGGUUCCCUCCGAAAUUUCCCUCAGGAUAGCAGCAACUUUUUUACGAUAGUUUUAUGAGGUAAAGCGAAUGAUUAGAGGAUUCGGGGAAGAAACUUUCUCGACCUAUUCUCAAACUUUAAAUCUGUAAGACCUGCAGGUUUCUUAAUUGAACUUGUGGAUGUGAAUAUCAAGUUGCUAGUGGGCCAUACGGGGUAAGCUCGUCUGGCG